CGAGUGAGCGGCAAGAGCUCAGAUUUGAAAUCGUGUUUCGGCACGAGUUGUAGAGUGUAGGCGGGAGUCUCUGUGGAGCGCGGUGUCCAAGUCCCUUGGAACAGGGUGCCUGAGAGGGUGAGAGCCCCGUAGGGUGCUGCGCGAAGCUUUUGAGGCCCUGCUGACGAGUCGAGUUGUUUGGGAAUGCAGCUCCAAGCGGGUGGUAAAUUCCAUCUAAGGCUAAAUAUUGGCGAGAGACCGAUAGCGAACAAGUACUGUGAAGGAAAGAUGAAAAGCACUUUGAAAAGAGAGUGAAACAGCACGUGAAAUUGUUGAAAGGGAAGGGUAUUGGGCUCGACAUGGGGGGUGCGCACCGCUGUCUCUUGUAGGCGGCGCUCUGGGCGCCCUCUGGGCCAGCAUCGGUUCCUGCUGCGGGAGAAGGGGCUCCGGAAAGUGGCUCUUCGGAGUGUUAUAGCCGGGGCCAGAUGCCGCGUGUGGGGACCGAGGACUGCGGCUUCUGUCUCGGAUGCUGGCAUAACGGCGCAAUACCGCCCGUCUUG
rnacentral:rRNA from 1 species